rnacentral:lncRNA from 1 species
GUAUUCCUAAGAUUCCUCAUAAUUAUUACUAUAUAUGUCAUAAACAAACAUAAGUCAUUGUUCUACAUUGUUCCAAUAUCACAAAUUUCAGUUACCAUAGUUUAGUUUAAUAAGCAAGUCCUCCAACAAUAUAGUUAAAUUUUCUAUUACUCACGGCUGCAUUAAUUGUAAUUGAAUAAAGUUCAAACAUUACUACCAGUUCUAGUCCACUAAUAACUACGGGAAUAACAGAUGCACACUUAGAACACUGACCAAUCACAUCAUUUCUUUCAAAGUCUGUGUGCACUUGUUUUGCCUCCUUGUACCUCAGUGUUGAACUCUUUUUUUCUUUUGGUACUGAGGAUUAAACCCUGGGGCUUUAAAACACUGAACCACACUCCCCAACCCUUUUUAUUUUUUAUUUUGAGACAUAGUCUCAUCAAGUUGGUUAGGGCCUCACUACGUUGCUGAGGCUGGCUUUGAACUCCAGAUCCUCCUGCCUCAGCCUCUCGAGCCACUGGGAUUACAGAAGUGCACCACUCUGCCCAUUUUAGUGAUGAUUUCUUUUAAUAUUUUGAGAAAAUAGAUACUUGAAAGAGAAUUGACCAACAGAGAUAAAAGUGCAGCAAAGAGCUUGGUGCCCUGAUGUACACCUGUUAAUCCCAGUGGCUCCUGCUGAGGGCCAUUGCUAAGUAAGAAUGAUGCAUGGCAUGACCCAGGUCAUUUGCAGUGUCAUUGCAUGUAAGGUGACCUUGCUCAAGGACCAGGGCGGAUCCGGGUUUAGGGCGGAUGGGGUUUAGGGCGUUCCCAGUUUAGGACAAUCGGGGGUUUAGGGCGGUUCCAGGUUUAAGGUGUACCCUUCUGGGAAUAGGGCGUAUCCUGUUGCCUCAGGCGCGCCUGCUCUUUGAGUUCCCGUUGAGUUCUCAUUGAGUUCUUGUGGGAUUCAGAGAGUAUUUGGGAUUUUGCCCAGAACGUGAUUUGGGCCCAGAACGUGAAUUCCCCCAGAACGUGUGUGUAAGUGCCAGUGACAGUUCGAGAAUAAAAAGUUGCUGUUUGAAUCAACAAGGUGUGUGGUGGCUCGUGAUUUUGUGCCCAGCCAGACUGCGGCAGCUCCAGCGGCCAUGCAGGAGGACCAUGAGUUUGUAAGGGUAAAAGAAAUUGAAGUUAAAGCAUAAAAGUUAAAGGGUAAAAGACCGGGUGUUGUAAAGUUUUUAAGCUGCAAGGUCUGAGUUAAAAUGUAAAGGAUGAGGUAUUGUUAGGUUUCUAUGCUACCUGCAAAACCUGAAAUUUCUGUAGCUGUUAAGACAAUGCUUGGAACUGCCCAGUAAACAUUUCCCCUGAAUACUUGGUUGUUUAAUGACUGAAGGGCUCUGUGUAACUGGUCACGUAGUCAUUUAGGCCCUAAAACCAAUCAGUUUGAAUGUAACCCCCUCCUUAGGAAUGACCUAUCAUUCCAGCCUGACCACUUCCCGC